rnacentral:rRNA from 1 species
GAUGAACGCUGGCGGCGUGCUUAACACAUGCAAGUCGAGCGGUAAGGCCCCUUCGGGGGUACACGAGCGGCGAACGGGUGAGUAACACGUGAGGAACCUGCCCCCCUCUCUGGGAUAACUCCGGGAAACCGGAGCUAAUACCGGAUACUCCGGCGAGAUCGCAUGGUCUUGUCGGGAAAGCUCCGGCGGAGGGGGAUGGCCUCGCGGCCCAUUAGCUAGUUGGUGGGGUAACGGCCUACCAAGGCUGCGAUGGGUAGCCGAGCUGAGAGGCUGAUCGGCCACACUGGGACUGAGACACGGCCCAGACUCCUACGGGAGGCAGCAGUGGGGAAUAUUGCGCAAUGGGCGAAAGCCUGACGCAGCAACGCCGCGUGCGGGAUGAAGGCCUUCGGGUUGUAAACCGCUUUCAGCAGGGACGAAACUGACGGUACCUGCAGAAGAAGCCCCGGCUAACUACGUGCCAGCAGCCGCGGUAAUACGUAGGGGGCUAGCGUUAUCCGGAUUCAUUGGGCGUAAAGCGCGCGUAGGCGGGCUGUUAAGUCAGGUGUGAAAACCGGGGGCUCAACCCGCGGCCUGCACCUGAAACUGGCAGCCUCGAGUCUGGUAGAGGAAAGUGGAAUUCCCAGUGUAGCGGUGAAAUGCGCAGAUAUUGGGAGGAACACCAGUGGCGAAGGCGGCUUUCUGGGCCACGACUGACGCUGAGGCGCGAAAGCUAGGGGAGCAAACA